UGGGUGUGCGGUGGCGCAGGUUGGGGGUGUUUUCAUGUUUCCUGGACUCUACUGGCUGUCCCCCCCCUCCCAACUCCCUGCCCCUGUGCUCAGUGCUCUGGUGACACAUCGUCAUAUUGAUCUACAUCCCAGCCCCAGACACAGCUCGGAGCAGCCUCUACCAAAUCGCUCAUGGGUGCACACUCCAACCCAGUCACACACAGCGGACCCAGCAUGCCCUGGGUUUCCGAUUGGGCACCCUAAGCGCCGGACUCUGCCCCAGCCUCUGGAUGACCUCAUGAAGCUGCCUGCUGGGCCUCCUCCUCCUGGGUGGGCGAGCUGGGUGCGGCUCCUUCCUGGCACAGACUAGGGGUGCUGGCAGAGGGCCCCGCAGAGCCCAUCAAGGAACUUCUGGGCUGCCCAGUGGAGCCAAGCUCUCGGGUUGAACCAGAGUGUUUCUAAAGCUGGGCAAGUGCUCUACCGAUGAGCUUAAUUCCUAACCAGGUCGGUCUUAAAGCAAAUCAGAGAGUGGGGGACUAGGGAAAUGGCUCAGCAGGUGAAGCAAGCAUCUGCCAUGCAAACCAGAGGACUGGAGGUCACAUCUCCAGGCCCCAGGUAAGAGCUGGGUGGGUGUGGUGGCCCACCUGUAACCGCAGCAAGGGCGACAGGACAGACCUUCCCCAGGUCUGACAAAGAAACAGUACCUGGGACCCAUCUGGAGGCAUCUGACAUCAGCCUAGGGUCUCCACUUGUAUGCACACACCUGUGCAUCCACAUACAUGAGAAUACAACUAUACACACCCAUGCAAAAGGAGAAAAGGAAAUACAAGGGAAUGAAGCUGGGGCAGAGCUCGGUGGAGAAGCACUUCACAUGUGUGAGAUGCUGAGUUCAAUCACUCAUUCAGCCCUUGGUCCCAUUGUUGCAACCUUUUGAUUUGCUUGUAUUUAUUUAUUUAAUGAUAGUGUUUAGCUAUAUAGACCAGGCUGGCCUGAGACUCACUGUAUAGCCCAGAUUGGCCUCAAACUCUUGGUGCUGGAUAGUUUAGGUCACCUUGACACGCGCUAAAGUCACCUGGGAGGAGGGAACCUCAAUUAGAAAAUACUUGGACCCAUGAAGAACACAUUUUCUCAAUUAGUGAAGCAGGCUGAGCAAGCCAGUAAGCAGCACCCCUCCACAGCUUCUGCAUCAGUUCCUGCCUCCAUGUUCCUGACCUGACUUCCUUCAAAGAUGAGCAGUGAUAUGGAAGUGUAUGCCAAAGAAAUCCUUUCCUCUCAACGUUGCUUUUGGUCAUCACAGCAAUAGAAACGCUGACUAAGACACCCCCGGUCCUCUCACCUCUACCUUGUGAGUGCUGGGAUUAUACCGUGCCUCACCGCCUUCAAAACUUUUAAAAACUGUUUUUCACUCUCACUGCUCCCACCUCUCAACUUGUUCAUUAUUUUUCAUCUGGAAGCAUCUUGUUCUUCUAGCUCCUCUGACUCCCAAUCUCUCAUAAACAAUUUAGUCUGCAGUCCAGGACUGGGGGUCCUGGGACCAAGGCAUAUGGCUCAUACCCAGGUCUUGCUCUCCUUCUGUCUGAUUCAAGCAGGGCCAGGCCAGGUGGUUAGCAUGAUCUGGCUCAAUAAAAGGUUGUGCCUGUGUGCAAGGCUGCCUCAGGAACCCUGGGGCAGCGGGGACCUCUAGCAAGCCUCUAGUACCUAGGAGCCAAAUACGUGGUCUCGGUGCUGUCUACUCUCAAGGCUGUGAGGCAGCGAGCAGGAAGACCUCUGGCUUUGAUCAUAGAAGCCUGCCCAGCCUGACACCUAAAGGCAGAGACCCUCACUUCUUCCACACUCUGGAAUGCCCUUCAGCUCAGCCAAGGUCUGCUGAAGGGAGACAUGCAAAAUCUGCUCCACUGACUGACCAGCUGCUAGGAAGAGACAGGAGAGACAAUCAAACCAGUUGCUGCUAUCAGACGCCAGCAUGGCUGGAGCUGGCCGUGUUGCUGGGAGAUGGGGAUGGGGUGGGGGAGGUAAGUGUAUGGCACGCUGGGACAAUUAGCUCAAUGAAAGGCCAUGGAACAAGGAGCUGCCAUGUAGAUAGAAAAUAAUAAUAAUAAUAAUAAUAAUAAUAAUAAUAUGUGUGGGAAAUCUAUCUCUCACUUACUCUGCCCACAGGGAUAAACCCUCAAAGGAUUAAAGGGUUGUUUUUUUUUUUUAAUUUUUUUAUUUAUUUUUAUUUUAUGUGUAUGUGUGUGUACCUGUGUGAGUUUAUGUAUACUACAUAUGUGCAGUGCCCACCAAGGCCAGAAGAGGGCGCCAGAUCUCUCUGGAGCCAGAGUUACAGGCUGCUGUUCUCCACCAUGUGGGUGCUGGGAAGUAACCUGGAUUUCCUUCCUCCAAGAGCAACUAGUGCUCUCGACUGCUGAGCCAUCUUGCCAGCCCAAGACUUAAAGAUAAUAAAUAAAUAAAUAACAAUUUAAAAGCCAUGAAAAUAAAUACUGACCAG
rnacentral:lncRNA from 1 species